rnacentral:rRNA from 1 species
CGGAGGUUACUGCUAUCGAGGUUCGACUAAGCCAUGCGAGUCGAAUGUAGCAAUACAUGGCGAACUGCUCAGUAACACGUGGACAACCUGCCCUUAGGUUGGGUAUAAACCCGGGAAACUGGGUAUAAUACCCGAUAGGUCUCGAUUGCUGGAAUGCAUCGAGAUUUAAAGCUCCGGCGCCUAAGGAUGGGUCUGCGGCCUAUCAGGUAGUAGUGGGUGUAGCGUACCUACUAGCCUACGACGGGUACGGGUUGUGAGAGCAAGAGCCCGGAGAUGGAUUCUGAGACACGAAUCCAGGCCCUACGGGGUGCAGCAGGCGCGAAAACUUUACAAUGCUGGCAACAGCGAUAAGGGAACCUCGAGUGCCAGGUUACAAAUCUGGCUGUCGAGAUGCCUAAAAAGCAUUUCAUAGCAAGGGCCGGGCAAGACCGGUGCCAGCCGCCGCGGUAACACCGGCGGCUCGAGUGGUAACCGUUAUUAUUGGGUCUAAAGGGUCUGUAGCCGGCCGGAUAAGUCUCUUGAGAAAUCUGGCAGCUUAACUGUCAGGCUUUCAGGAGAUACUGUCUGGCUCGAGGCCGGGAGAGGUGAGAGGUACUUCAGGGGUAGGGGUGAAAUCUUGUAAUCCUUGAAGGACCACCAGUGGCGAAGGCGUCUCACCAGAACGGACCUGACGGCAAGGGACGAAAGCUAGGGGCACGAACCGGAUUAGAUACCCGGGUAGUCCUAGCCGUAAACGAUACUCGCUAGGUGUCGGCCACGGUGCGACCGUUGUCGGUGCCGUAGGGAAGCCGUGAAGCGAGCCACCUGGGAAGUACGGCCGCAAGGCUGAAACUUAAAGGAAUUGGCGGGGGAGCACCACAACGGGUGGAGCUUGCGGUUUAAUUGGAUUCAACGCCGG